UCAAUCAAUCAAUCUGCGCUAUACGCUA
rnacentral:sRNA from 1 species